GACGAACGCUGGCGGCGUGCUUAACACAUGCAAGUCGAACGCUGAAGCUCAGCUUGCUGGGUGGAUGAGUGGCGAACGGGUGAGUAACACGUGAGUAACCUGCCCUCUUCUUUGGGAUAACGCCCGGAAACGGGUGCUAAUACUGGAUAUUCACUGAUUCUCGCUUGGGGGUUGGUGGAAAGGUUUUUUCUGGUGGGGGAUGGGCUCGCGGCCUAUCAGCUUGUUGGUGGGGUGAUGGCCUACCAAGGCUUUGACGGGUAGCCGGCCUGAGAGGGUGACCGGUCACAUUGGGACUGAGAUACGGCCCAGACUCCUACGGGAGGCAGCAGUGGGGAAUAUUGCACAAUGGGCGAAAGCCUGAUGCAGCGACGCCGCGUGAGGGAUGGAGGCCUUCGGGUUGUAAACCUCUUUCGCUCAUGGUCAAGCCGCAGCUUUGGGUUGUGGUGAGGGUAGUGGGUAAAGAAGCGCCGGCUAACUACGUG
rnacentral:rRNA from 1 species